rnacentral:rRNA from 1 species
CUACGGGGGGCAGCAGUGGGGAAUAUUGCACAAUGGAGGAAACUCUGAUGCAGCAACGCCGCGUGGAGGAUGACACUUUUCGGAGCGUAAACUCCUUUUAUAUAGGAAGAUAAUGACGGUACUAUAUGAAUAAGCACCGGCUAGACUCCGUGCCAGCAGCCGCGGUAAUACGGAGGGUGCAAGCGUUACUCGGAAUCACUGGGCGUAAAGAGCGUGUAGGCGGGUUAAUAAGUCAGAAGUGAAAUCCUAUGGCUCAACCAUAGAACUGCUUUUGAAGCUGUUAACCUAGAGUGUGGGAGAGGUAGAUGGAAUUUCUGGUGUAGGGGUAAAAUCCGUAGAGAUCAGAAGGAAUACCGAUUGCGAAGGCGAUCUACUGGAACAUAACUGACGCUGAGACGCGAAAGCGUGGGGAGCAAACAGGAUUAGAUACCCUCGUAGUC